GAUGAACGCUGGCGGCGUGCCUAACACAUGCAAGUCGAGCGAACAGACGAGGAGCUUGCUCUUCUGACGUUAGCGGCGGACGGGUGGGUAACACGUGGAUAACCUCCCUAUAUGACUGGGAUAACUUCGGGAAACCGGAGCUAAUACCCGAUAAUCUACUGAACCGCAUGGGUCAAUAGUGAAAGACGCUUUUGCUGUUACUUAUAGAUGGAUCCGCGCCGCAUUAGCUAGUUGGUAAGGUAACGGCAUACCAAGGCGACGAUGCGUAGCCGACCUGAGAGGAGGAUCAGCCACACUGGAACUGAGACACGGUCCAGACUCCUACGGGAGGCAGCAGUGGGGAAUCUUCCGCAAUGGGCGAAAGCCUGACGGAGCAACGCCGCGUGGGUGAUGAAGGUCUUCGGGUCGUAAAGCUCUGUUAUUAGGGAAGAAAAGAAGUGGAAGUAUAUAUGGCCGUCGUGACGGUACCUAAUCAGAAAGCCCCGGCUAACUACGUG
rnacentral:rRNA from 1 species